CCUACGGGUGGCAGCAGUGGGGAAUAUUGGGCAAUGGACGCAAGCCUGACCCAGCAACGCCGCGUGAAGGAAGAAGGCUUUCGGGUUGUAAACUUCUUUUAAGGGGGAAGAGCAGAAGACGGUACCCCUUGAAUAAGCCACGGCGAACUACGUGACAGCAGCCGGGGUAAUACGUAGGUGGCAAGCGUUGUCCGGAUUUACUGGGUGGAAAGGGCGUGAAGCCGGAGAGACAAGUCAGAUGUGAAAUCCACAGGCGCAACCUGUGAACUGCAUUUGAAACUGUUUCCCUUGAGUAUCGGAGAGGUCAUCGGAAUUCCUAGUGUAGCGGUGAAAUGCGUAGAUAUUAGGCAGAACACCAGUGGCGAAGGCGGCUGACUGGCCGACAACUGACGGUGAGGCGCGAAAGCGUGGGGAGCAAACAGGAUUAGAUACCCUAGUAGUC
rnacentral:rRNA from 1 species